UACGUAGGGUGCGAGCGUUGUCCGGAAUUACUGGGCGUAAAGAGCUCGUAGGUGGUUUGUCGCGUUGUUCGUGAAAACUCACAGCUUAACUGUGGGCGUGCGGGCGAUACGGGCGGACUUGAGUGUUGCAGGGGAGACUGGAAUUCCUGGUGUAGCGGUGAAAUGCGCAGAUAUCAGGAGGAACACCGGUGGCGAAGGCGGGUCUCUGGGCAACUACUGACGCUGAGGAGCGAAAGCGUGGGGAGCGAACAGG
rnacentral:rRNA from 1 species